rnacentral:rRNA from 1 species
GACGAACGCUGGCGGCGUGCUUAACACAUGCAAGUAGAACGCUGAAGGCGGAGCUUGCUCUUCUGGUUGAGUUGCGAACGGGUGAGUAACGCGUAGGUAACCUGCCCGGUAGUGGGGGAUAACUAUUGGAAACGAUAGCUAAUACCGCAUAACAGUACCUGUUGCAUGACAUUUACUUGAAAGGUUCGAUUGCAUCACUACCAGUUGCGCCUGCGUUGUUUUAGCUAGGUGGUGUGGUAACGGCGCACCAAGGCGACGAUACAUACCAGACCUGUGAGGGGGAGCAGCCGGACUGAGACGGAGACACGGCCCAGACGGCUACAGGAAGCAGCAGGAGGGAAUCGGCGGCAAUGAGCGGAAGACUGAGCGAGCAACGCGGCGGGAGUGAGGAGGGUUUUCGGAUCGUAAAUCACUGUUGUAAGGGAAGAACGAGUGUGAGCGUGUAAAGUUCACACUGUGACGGUAACGGACAAAAAAGCAACGGCUAACUACGUA